rnacentral:rRNA from 1 species
GACGAACGCUGGCGGCGUGCUUAACACAUGCAAGUCGAACGGAAAGGCCCUGCUUUUGUGGGGUGCUCGAGUGGCGAACGGGUGAGUAACACGUGAGUAACCUGCCCUUGACUUUGGGAUAACUUCAGGAAACUGGGGCUAAUACCGGAUAGGAGCUCCUGCUGCAUGGUGGGGGUUGGAAAGUUUCGGCGGUUGGGGAUGGACUCGCGGCUUAUCAGCUUGUUGGUGGGGUAGUGGCUUACCAAGGCUUUGACGGGUAGCCGGCCUGAGAGGGUGACCGGCCACAUGGGGACUGAGAUACGGCCCAGACUCCUACGGGAGGCAGCAGUGGGGAAUAUUGCGCAAUGGGCGGAAGCCUGAUGCAGCAACGCCGCGUGCGGGAUGACGGCCUUCGGGUUGUAAACCGCUUUCGCCUGUGACGAAGCGUGAGUGACGGUAAUGGGUAAAGAAGCACCGGCGAACUACGU